GGAUUCAAUCAAAAACGAACAGAGAACUCUAAUCACCCAGCACCCACCUCCAUCUCACCCAGGGGUGCCCAGGCAGGCUGGGAGGGCACCCACCUCCCAGUUCACAAAGAUCUUUGCUCUCACAGCAAUUUCCCUCUACAUGGCAAUUCUUAAACUUCGUAGGGCAUGUGUGUAUCCAAAGAGCUUGUUCCCUGCAUUGCCGUGGAGUCUUAUUUGCACAGAGAUGAAGCUGCUCUUCUUCAUAAAGAGGACAAGAGGGCUUCGCUGGGAGCCCGGCCUCUCCACCUAGACUCUCCCGGAAAAGAAGCAUGUUCUCUUACUCAGCACGCUCGGGUUCAACGUCCUCCAGCCGUAACCGCACAGGCGUGUUUGUUGUACCCUCCUCUUCUGGGACAGUCUGUUUUCCUUUCUCAAGAGACUGAUGGGUCUGCAGCCUGGGCCAGGGUCCCGGAGCCCUUGGCGAGGGGCUGGUGGAGGUGGGGAAGGCGGGCCGAGGAAGAGCACUUACCCUGAGCUCCUUGGCC
ensembl:lncRNA